UACAGAGGUCUCGAGCGUUGUUCGGAUUCAUUGGGCGUAAAGGGUGUGUAGGUGGCGCGCUAAGUCGGGUGUGAAAUUUCGGAGCUUAACUCCGAAACUGCAUUCGAUACUGCGGUGCUUGAGGACUGGAGAGGAGACUGGAAUUCAUGGUGUAGCAGUGAAAUGCGUAGAGAUCAUGAGGAAGACCAGUGGCGAAGGCGGGUCUCUGGACAGUUCCUGACACUGAGGCACGAAGGCCAGGGGAGCAAACGGG
rnacentral:rRNA from 1 species